rnacentral:rRNA from 1 species
GCCUGCCCUGUGACUAUGGGUUUAACGGCCGCGGUAUUUUGACCGUGCGAAGGUAGCGCAAUCACUUGUCUUUUAAAUGAAGACCUGUAUGAAUGGCAUCACGAGGGCUUAGCUGUCUCCUCUCCCAAGUCAAUGAAAUUGAUCUGCCCGUGCAGAAGCGGACAUAAGUACAUAAGACGAGAAGACCCUAUGGAGCUUUAGACACCAGGCAGAUCACGUCAAGUAAACUUAAAUUAACAAGUAGAAACGCAGUGACCCCUAGCCCAUAUGUCUUUGGUUGGGGCGACCGCGGGGGAAAAUAAAGCCCCCAUGUGGACUGGGGGCACUGCCCCCACAGCCGAGAGCUACAGCUCUAAGCACCAGAAUUUCUGACCAAAAAUGAUCCGGCGAACGCCGAUCAACGGACCGAGUUACCCUAGGGAUAACAGCGCAAUCCUCUCCCAGAGUCCCUAUCGACGAGGGGGU